rnacentral:ribozyme from 12 species
CGUGUUUUUUCAUUUCGCCUAUUCUUCUUCUCCUUCUUCCUUUUCUUCCUUUUUUACCCAAAUCCCUCUAAUAUCCAUAAAAAG